rnacentral:rRNA from 1 species
UACGGAGGGUGCAAGCGUUAUCCGGAUUCACUGGGUUUAAAGGGUGCGUAGGCGGGCUAUUAAGUCAGUGGUGAAAUCCCGGGGCUCAACCUCGGAACUGCCAUUGUGACUGCAAGGCUAGAGUACGGCAGAGGGGGGGUGGAAUUCCGCGUGUAGCAGUGAAAUGCGUAGAUAUGCGGAGGAACACCGAUGGCGAAGGCAACCCCCUGGGCCUGUACUGACGCUCAUGCACGAAAGCGUGGGGAGCAAACAGG